AGGCGCGUUGGAGCAGGUCAGAGCCAGAUCAAACCGGCUCUUACAAAGCAGAUGUCGGCGGUUCGAAACCGUCCGCGCCCACCA
rnacentral:tRNA from 1 species